AUGGGGGUCCGAACUGGGGUGGUUCGGCAGUCUCUGGUGGCCGGACGGCGGCGGGAGGAGCUGAAGUUUCCGGCAGACGGAGGCAGGGAUGGUGACGUUGGUCCACGUGACGCAGCCGUUUCAGCACAUUGUGUACCCUCUCGGACCUGCCGGAGCAACCUAUAUGUAUCCGCGUCGGUGAUGGAGUCGGUGAAGAAAGCUCAGGACGAGAGCUCUGCUGCCAUUCUCUCCCGCGCUUUGCAGAUUUGCAAGGACAGGAUGAAGCUGUGCAUCUGACUGGUGAUCCAGGGGAUAUGAUUUGUCAAGCCACGGAGAAGAUGCAUGUAGAUCUUCUUGUUGUAGGGAGUCGUGGUCUGGGCAUGGUCAAGAGAGCAUUCCUAGGAAGUGUGAGCAACUACUGCGCACAUCAUGCAGCAUGUCCAGUCAUGAUCGUCAAGCCACCAAGAGGGUCUGGACCAAAGGUGUCUGUAUCAUCUUCAAAGUAA